AAGAAAUCAGAGGUGGCACAUGACCUUGAAACACCGGCAGGGCGUUCCAAGGUUGAAGAACUCUGGACGCGAAGCAUACGCCAUUACGGAUUUCUUUCCAUCGAGCACGCGGGACAAAACGACGAUCAAGAUUUCCGCGAUAUCAUCCACGUUCUGGCGAGCCUUCACGCCUUGCUGCAAAUGCAACGAAGUCACGCGGCGGAGGCAUCUUAUUUGGCCAUAGGCCUUUUCCUGGAAGACACAGACAUCAAGGGUGCUCUAGACACCAUGAGGCAAGUAUACAUGCCGGAUUUGAUUAUUGCUCAUGGCCACAUCGGAUACGAUGACCGGCAGUUCGGGACAGACUGCAAGAUGAUGUACCCGACGCCAUACAACUCUGAUGGGCGAUAUCGAGAAA